GUGGGACAGUGGAGCUGAGGAGGGACUUUUCAGGCUAUCAGGGAGGGACAGAACCAGGGGCAAUGGAGUGAAGCUGAAGAUGGAUCGGUUCAAGCUGGCUGUGAAGAGAAAGUUGCUCAGCAUGAGAGUGAUUCACCUUGCAAACGGCUGGAGGACAGUUUCACUGCCAAAGGAACACCUUGGGACUCCCCUCGGGAGCUGGAGAUAGCUCUUUAGCCCUCAAAGAAACAAACGAGACCAGCAGCAGGAGACCCUCUGCUGCUAUCCCCCUCUGCCCCUCUCUUUGCUCCCCACUGCCUGG